UAAAUCGAUAGGUAUAUAACACGGUUCAAUCGGAAUGAAGACGCAAGUUUUAUUACAGUUUCCGACAUAAAAACUACUACCUACUUAACAAUGAAAGCCGUUUUCUAUAUUGCGUUUGUUUUGGCACUGUUUGCUUUUGCUGCGGCCAAUCCUUCUCCAAAUCCGAACCCAAUGCCAAAUCCUCGUCCUCAGUAUUGGAAUUAUGGGUAUGGAAUGCCGAUGCCAUACUACGGAAUGGGUUAUGGGUAUUAUUUCUAGAGCGAUGAUGUUUUUUAUAUUUGACAAAUAAACUUGUUGCACAUUUAAAUUUA